AUGCCGCGUGAUGAAGCUGAAUUUUAGUAAAGAAUAUAAGAAGAUAUUAAAUUGGUUUCUGGGCUAGCUUACAGCUUAUAUUUAGUCUCAAAUUAGGCUUGCCUCAGGUUGCAGGGGUGUGUGAGAUAACAUUGUCUCCCAAGUGAAGGAGCUAGAGAGAUAUCUUCACAGGGAGAUGCCAUAAACCAAUGUUUAUGGGGAGGAGGCGAUAAAGGAAGAGAGAAAUAAACAGUCACAUCUUUGUAAACAAAUAACCUAUGUUUAUGAGGGACCAAAUGACAGAGGAAGCAGCGACCAGAGCAAGGGUGGUCUAUUUGGAGAUAAAACAAAUGGACAAUGUUUUUAGUAUAUCUUGUACCAUGUAAAAAAAAAAGGUUUGAUGUGAUGCAUUCUGUGGAAACCUUUUCCAGUACUUCUGACCAUGACUAAUGUCUGUGGAAUGUGAUAAGGGGACAAAAAACCUAUUUAAAGCAAUGUAAUUCUGUUGUUCAGGGGAGGUGACUGAGCACAGUCAAGUGUCUGUGUUAGUCACUUGACUGGCGUUCUCCCUCCCUUCCAUCGGCCGAUGUUAAGUAAAGUUUUGAACUGGUCUACCAAACCGUUUGUGUGGUGUCUGUUUAUUAAGAAGCGAACCUGGUUUAAAGUUAAGAUAAGUAGCUUUUUCAUUGGCGUAGUUAUGCAGGCCUCGCUGGGACCACAUCAACGGCUGACUGUGCAAGAGGUUGCGGAGGUUGCCGGGAUUGGAAGGGAGAUAACUGAGCUCUAUCGGUCCCCUUGUAAGACCGACUCCCUAGAAACUCCCGGUCACAUCUGUGAUCCUUCAUCAGAAAUUGAAUUGGUUCCCUGCCGAGGUUCUUAGCAACAGACAAAGAUCUACAUUCCCAGGUUGGAGGAGCUUUGCUGGGAGCCAUAAAAGCUAUACGAUGGGGGUGCUGGGACAAGAAGAAAUUGAAACUGUAUUGAAAAGAAACAACCAAGUGUUGCUAACAACAUGAACUGCUGUAAAGAUGAAAGAUCAUCAUCGCUGGAUACAUUUGAUUGACUGUGAACAGUUUGUGGAAACAAGGACGAUGGGCUAUUGAUGCUCCUUUAUUCUGGGGUGGCCCAGCCCACAUGGACUGAACUUUCUUCAGAAUGGCAAACUUGCGGACUAAAACACAUUUAAAGGAUGGUACACACCUCCUUUUAAACAAGAUUGAAGUCAAACAUGACAAGCACAGCAAAGAUACCCUGACUACAGACAGUAAGAGGUCUGCAAAGGCCAGUUAAAUCUACCUGUUUUUGCCACAACCAAGGCACUGGUGUAUUUUAAGGAAACAGUAUAUUUGUGACAGGGCAUUGUUAUGUUGCAAAUGCAGUGUCACACAAGAGAAGCAUGAACCAGUUACACCAGCACAUGGGGAAUUCCAAGCGAAGCCGAAUAAAGGCUGAGCACUUUUUAUGAUCCUUUUCCUGUCCUAUGGUAGUAUAUUAUAAUGUCACGUCCGGGGGAGGUUGGUGGCCAUUUAAAAUGUUUGGAGGGACUUGUGGAACGAUUGUCCACUAUGAAUUGAUUGUGUUACUAGUGUACUAUUAAAUUGUCUGAUGAGAUGCUUAUGGUCUUUCGUAUGUACUCAGGAAGGACUGUAGUUGUUAUCAAAAUUUUGAUAAAAGGAUGGAAUGAUGAAGCUGAAUUUUAGUAAAGAAUAUAAGAAGAUAUUAAAUUGGUUUCUGGGCUAGCUUACAGCUUAUAUUUAGUCUCAAAUUAGGCUUGCCUCAGGUUGCAGGGGUGUGUGAGAUAACAUUGUCUCCCAAGUGAAGGAGCUAGAGAGAUAUCUUCACAGGGAGAUGCCAUAAACCAAUGUUUAUGGGGAGGAGGCGAUAAAGGAAGAGAGAAAUAAACAGUCACAUCUUUGUAAACAAAUAACCUAUGUUUAUGAGGGACCAAAUGACAGAGGAAGCAGCGACCAGAGCAAGGGUGGUCUAUUUGGAGAUAAAACAAAUGGACAAUGUUUUUAGUAUAUCUUGUACCAUGUAAAAAAAAAGGUUUGAUGUGAUGCAUUCUGUGGAAACCUUUUCCAGUACUUCUGACCAUGACUAAUGUCUGUGGAAUGUGAUAAGGGGACAAAAAAACCUAUUUAAAGCAAUGUAAUUCUGUUGUUCAGGGGAGGUGACUGAGCACAGUCAAGUGUCUGUGUUAGUCACUUGACUGGCGUUCUCCCUCCCUUCCAUCGGCCGAUGUUAAGUAAAGUUUUGAACUGGUCUACCAAA